rnacentral:rRNA from 1 species
GACGAACGCUGGCGGCGUGCUUAAUACAUGCAAGUCAACUGAACUUGAAGUAGCAAUAUUUCAAGGGAGGUGGCGCACGGGUGAGUAACACGUAGGUAAUCUGCCUUUAGGUCUGACAUAAUUCCGCGAAAGCGGGACUAACUUCAGAUGAUGCAGCGGCUCGACAUCGAGACAGUUGUUAAACCUUCGGGGCCUAAAGAUGAGCCUGCGUCUGAUUAGGUAGUUGGCGGGGUAACGGCCCACCAAGCCAUCGAUCAGUAGCUGGUCUGAGAGGAUGAUCAGCCACACUGGAACUGAGACACGGUCCAGACUCCUACGGGAGGCAGCAGUAAGGAAUAUUGCUCAAUGGCCGAAAGGCUGAAGCAGCAACGCCGCGUGGAGGAUGAAAUACUUUUGUAUGUAAACUCCUGUGAGAAGGGAAAAUAUGCAGAUUUUCUGCGUUGAUUGUACCUUCAGAGGAAGCCCCGG